rnacentral:rRNA from 1 species
UUUGAUCCUGGCUCAGAACGAACGCUGGCGGCAGGCUUAACACAUGCAAGUCGAGCGCCCCGCAAGGGGAGCGGCAGACGGGUGAGUAACGCGUGGGAACGUACCCUUUACUACGGAAUAACGCAUGGAAACGUGUGCUAAUACCGUAUGUGCCCUAUUGGGGAAAGAUUUAUCGGUAAAGGAUCGGCCCGCGUUGGAUUAGCUAGUUGGUGGGGUAAAGGCCUACCAAGGCGACGAUCCAUAGCUGGUCUGAGAGGAUGAUCAGCCACAUUGGGACUGAGACACGGCCCAAACUCCUACGGGAGGCAGCAGUGGGGAAUAUUGGACAAUGGGCGCAAGCCUGAUCCAGCCAUGCCGCGUGAGUGAUGAAGGCCCUAGGGUUGUAAAGCUCUUUCACCGGUGAAGAUAAUGACGGUAACCGGAGAAGAAGCCCCGG